rnacentral:lncRNA from 1 species
AAAAAGAGAUUAAAAUUCAACUAUAAAUAAGUAGAGGAUCAAGACCAUGUAGAAUCAACUUGAGAGAAAAGUGAAGCGAAAAUGUAAAGAAAGAGAGCAACCAUGAGUUUCUUUACAAUUUUUCCACCAUUACCUAUAAAGCUAAUAACCCUAUCACUUUCAUCCUCAUAAACUCUCCAUCAAUCCAUAUACCAUAAGAAAAAACACAAGACCGUUACACAAAUCUUUUAUCAAAUGUUUUAUUAUUAUUAUUAUUAUUUUUUUUAUCAAAUAACCUAAUAGAUUUGUCUAACACUUUAGAUGCCAACAUCUCAAACAUUACACAUUAACCCAAUGAAACCCAUGGUUUCAACAUCUAAAUAAUCACCGAAAAACAAAAUACCCAACCAUGGCAACAUAACCACUAGUGAAGCUCCUAAGCGGCCAUCACAGCUGCACUAGCUGCAAGUACACCUCUCUUUGUGAAUAAUGUUGGUUUAACAAUUCAAUUAUCAUAGCCAUUCAAAAAAAACCGGAUGAAUCAACGGGCUGGUCAACAUGCUGAACCAGUUCUGCAAACAAACCGAAGAAAACCGGAUUGAACCGGCCGGUUCGGUGGUUCAACCGCGGAACCGGUCUAACUGACACCAAACCAAACCAAUUUUGUGGUUGAACGAAAAUCACAUAAAAAAUUCCCUGCUGUGACUCGAACCUACUACAUGUGCAUAUGGGUAUGUUCAGGUUAUCACUAGGCCAGGACAACUUAUGUGAUUAAGAUGCGUAACAAUAAUAUAUAUUAAUAGUUUAUUUAAAAAACAUGGGCUAUGAUAUUUGUAUCCCUAAUUUUUUUUCCGUCUUUCUAAUAAUUGCAUCUCGGAUAUAUCUAUUUUUUUACAACAAAUAUAUGAUAUAUCUAUUAUAUAUUGAUAAAAUACAUUAAUUUAAUUUUUUUGGUUAUGGUGUUUUUUUAAUGUAGGAAUUCCAAUCGUAUAACUAUAUAUUAUUUCAAAUCUUUAAAUCUAAACUAUAAAUAUUAUCAACAUCUUCAUAAUUACUCAUUUACAUUUAUCAUUAUGACCCAUUACCGUCAGUUAUAUCUUUGUUCUUCUUUUCUUUUAUGAUGGCACAAUAUAAAUGUUUACACUCUAUCAUCGCAAAAGAAAGAAAGAAAAAAGCUAUAUCCAAAAGUAAUUUAUUCAUGACGAUAAAUGUAUUUAUAGUUUAGAUUUAGAGAUUUGAAGAAUAAAAAUGUAUUCACUUUUGAUGGAAAGAUUAUUGCGCGUGUUUCAAUUUCGCGUGUGCUCACCGUACUUCCGCAUCUUUGGCUCAAUCUGUUCGGUGAUUUGAUUUCUCUUUUGUUUAGGUUUUUGUGUUUCAGGUAUGCAGAUUUUGUUUUUCAUUGUUUAGGUUUUAAUUGUAUGCUUUCCGUGUGAUGUAGCUGGAUUAUCAAUUUGUGAAGGUUUGUUGGUGGUUCAAGCUUUUGAAGGAGUGAAUUAUGAGCCUUGUCUUUUAAUUAGAGGACUUAAUAUAAUUAAUGCAAAGAAUGUUAGAGAAAAACUUGUUGAAUAGUCAAGAGAGAAAUGUCACUCUCACAUUGAAUCUUUUUCGACUAAUUAGGAGUAUUUUUGUGAAAAUUUAAUUAAUACAUCUUAAAGUUUGAAAAUGGUCUUAUAAUUUUUUUUUUUACUAAAAAAUGUUCUUAUAAAAUAGAACAACAAAAUUUCACAAAAUAUCUUAACGAAUGUAGUAAUAUUUAAUUAUGUAUCGUGAAUUUGUGAUAGAUCACAUAGUCAAGAGAGAUGUCACUCUCACAUUGAAUUGAGAAAUUUUUAAAUUGGUUUUGUCACUGUGAUCAAUUGUUUUAGCUCCAUAGUUAUGGAUUACACAUUUUUAACACAUGCACCUUGAGCAAUUACCAACUCAAAUAAUUGGGAUUGGCUAUAACCACAAAGUAACUCAAAUUGAAAAUGCAUCUUUGAUGUAUUUCCUAUCAAUCAAUAGUUUGUAAUUCAAGUCAGAAGCUUUAGACUCUGAUCGUUUUCAGCCUCUGACCCUCCUGGUUCUGAAGUUGCCUUUGACUCUUUCAAAGGCUGUUAUAGCAAGUCUGGUUUUCGAACUAGCAGACUAUGAACCUCUGGUUUAGUUAUGCUUUUCCGUUUUGUUAGUCAGCGGUUAACGGUUAGUUAGUUGUUACGGUUGUCAUAAUUUGUUAGUCAAUUACAUAACAUUUUGUGUAUAUAAACAAUUGUAACUUCAAUUUUACUAUUCUUUCCCAAAUUUCAUCUCAACUCAUAUUCUCUCCAUCCUUCCAAAUUAUCGCCAAUACGUGUUCUUGUGUUCUAACAGCAUGUAGGUGUAAAUUGGACUUGUGGCUU